ensembl:snRNA U6 U6 spliceosomal RNA
GCUCACUUCUGCAGCACGUAUACAGUUGGAAUGACUCAGAGAAGAGUAGCAUGGCCACUGUGCAAGGAAGACACCCAAGUUUCCUCAAUGCACCCAGCAAUAUU